AGAAAGCCACUGCGCCCUCGGCGCGGGGCUCGCCACACCUGUGACCUAUUCAAGGCUUCCCUGGCCCCGAGCCCCGCGUGAGCGGAAGCACUGCUUGUUGGGCUGAGAAUGGGUGAGGAGAAGAGAAGACCCCAGUUCCGCCUGCCCUUUCCAGCCAGGCUCUCACGCAGACACCGGCCGAACGCAGAGAUGAAACUCCCACAGGCAUCUGGGGAGGUAGAGGCAGAGGCUGCUGCAGAAGCCCCGAACUCAGAGACAGGAGAAGUUGAGCCGUUCAGAAUACAGUCAAAGUGAUGGGAAAUCAAAUUCAACAUUAGUUUACAAAAGACAGCAGCUUCCAUCUUGCUCACGCUCUCUCCGAGGUUCUUCUUAUUUACUCACCCUGAUGAGGUCAGCCGCCACGUUGUGAGACGCUCUGAGGAGAAGCCCAAGUGCCGGGAAAUGGAGGGCAGAUUCUGGCCAACAGCCUGGUGAGGAUCUGAGGUCCUCAGUCAGCAGAUUGCAAGACAGCGAAUGUUGCCAACAGCCCUGUGAGCUGGAAGCCGGUCCUCCCCACUUGAGUCUUCAGAGGAUAGCACAACCACGGCAGCCCUUGUGAGAGAGGCUGAGUGGGGGACCCAGCCCCCCGCAUCCAUGUUCCUGACCCACAGAUAAUAAAUGCUGUU